AGUGAACGCUGGCGGUGGGCCUAACACAUGCAAGUCGAACGGCAGCACAGUAAGAGCUUGCUCUUACGGGUGGCGAGUGGCGGACGGGUGAGGAAUACAUCGGAAUCUACUUUUUCGUGGGGGAUAACGUAGGGAAACUUACGCUAAUACCGCAUACGACCUACGGGUGAAAGCAGGGGAUCUUCGGACCUUGCGCGAUUGAAUGAGCCGAUGUCGGAUUAGCUAGUUGGCGGGGUAAAGGCCCACCAGGGCGACGAUCCGUAGCUGGUCUGAGAGGAUGAUCAGCCACACUGGAACUGAGACACGGUCCAGACUCCUACGGGAGGCAGCAGUGGGGAAUAUUGGACAAUGGGCGCAAGCCUGAUCCAGCCAUACCGCGUGGGUGAAGAAGGCCUUCGGGUUGUAAAGCCCUUUUGUUGGGAAAGAAAAGCAGCAGGUUAAUACCCCGCUGUUCUGACGGUACCCAAAGAAUAAGCACCGGCUAACUUCGUG
rnacentral:rRNA from 1 species